AGCAUGGUGAGAGGUUAAUCGCCAAUCCCCCACUCUUGGUCAAGGAAAUAACCUUAGCCCUAUCAAUUAAGGCAGAGGAAACUCUCCUUCCUUCCACCCCAUCAUUGGUGAAACCAAUAAGGUCCCCUUGCAGCCUCCACCGCUGGUCCGACUCCUUACUCAACAUUACCUCACCCGCCAUGAGGGGAUCAACAAACCCCCCUUGUAAGUCUGGAUCUUCUGCCCUCCUAUCAGGAAUAGUCACCUACACCACACCCCUUCUCUUCAACUUCAGUGGCCCCAAGGAGGAGAAGACAAAGAUGCCCGAUGCUAAUCAUGCCCAUUUGGAUCACGUUAGGCCCAGGCUAGGCCAAGAAGUAGUGCUCAAUUCAAUCGGACUAUUCUUUUCUUCCAUAAAUCAUAAGUUGGCUGAACUGAUUCACCCC
rnacentral:lncRNA from 1 species